rnacentral:rRNA from 1 species
UACGUAGGGUGCGAGCGUUGUCCGGAAUUAUUGGGCGUAAAGGGCUCGUAGGCGGUUUGUCGCGUCGGGCGUGAAAAUCCAGGGCUUAACUCUGGACUGGCUUCCGAUACGGGCAGACUAGAGGUAUGCAGGGGAGAACGGAAUUCCUGGUGUAGCGGUGAAAUGCGCAGAUAUCAGGAGGAACACCGGUGGCGAAGGCGGUUCUCUGGGCAUUACCUGACGCUGAGGAGCGAAAGUGUGGGGAGCGAACAGG